GCGCUGCCCUGAAUUCUUCGGGGCAAGAUUCAGUAAUGAAUCUUUAAAAACUGGGUGAACUCGGGGAACCUCCAAAGGAAUCCCGAGCCAAGCCAAGAAGGGUUUCGUUAUCACGAAAGUUUCUUGGAAGGUGUAGAGACUAGCAGGUGAGUCCCAACAAUAAUCCUGCACAAGCGCCCAGCUCCUUUUGAUGGUGGAUCAGAAGGAUGAUGAGAUAGUCCAAAACUUGGAAGAGGCAG
rnacentral:ncRNA from 1 species